rnacentral:sRNA from 4 species
UUCGAGCGUCAGCGAGAAAGCGUUGCCGCAGGCAACGACCCGAAGGGCGAAGCGCGCAGCGCUGAGUCAUCCUUCCCCCACCACCA